UACGGGGGGGGGCAAGCGUUGUUCGGAAUUACUGGGCGUAAAGGGCUCGUAGGUGGCCAACUAAGUCAGACGUGAAAUCCCCAGGCUUAACCUGGGAACUGCGUCUGAUACUGGAUGGCUUGAAUUCGGGAGAGGGAUGCAGAAUUCCAGGUGUAGCGGUGAAAUGCUUAGAUAUCGUCCAGAACACCGAUAGCGAAGGCAGCUUACUAAGGAGUAACUGACGCUGAGGCACGAAAGUGUGGGGAUCAAACAGG
rnacentral:rRNA from 1 species